CUUAUUCUCUCUCUCUCUAGUCUUUAAUCGUUUAAGUCAUAGAGAAUUGAUUUUACACCCACCAUGUUUGAUACUAACACCCCUUUUAUCCACUUUUGGUCAAUACUGUCAUGCUACUGUAUUGUUGUGUUACUAGAAGUACAAGGAAAAGGGUGUGUUUAAAUAGUGAUUUCUAGUGUUUAUAUCAAAUCAUAUUUACUUGGGCUUUUCUUUUUUGAUAUGUUUUUAUUUGAUUCGAAGGAAUUUGUAUUGGUGGUUGACUUCAAUGAUGGGGAUUGAAUUGCUUGAUCUGGGUUGCUUUAGUUUCUGAUUUUGAUUGUGUUGAGAGAAGAUAGCAAUAAGGAUGAAUUUUAUUUUAAUUGAAUUCUUAUACACGACCGCCAUGCGUAUGUGCCGACAUGGCCUGCAUGUUCAAGGUGCGAGCCGCUCAUCGGGCAGGCCCAUAUGUCAGAUGUCCCAGCAUAAGAAUUGGGCAAGUCAAUCACCAGGUGAGCUGUAGCAUGUUCUAAAUAUGGCGGACACUCUUUAGUUCUCUUCUGGCUGUUGGAGUUUCCCGACUUUUCUGCCAGGGCACCUGCAUGGUAGGAGCCCACCUGAUGAGUGUCUUGUAUCUUUGCACAUGUACAUGUGAUCAUGCAUGUGGUUUUGACUCUUGAUGCAUAUGGCUCAUUUCAAUUUCUCUAAUAAGGUAUGUAGUUUUGUAUGAUUGCUUGCCAUUGACUCUUGAUGCACAUGGCCCAUUUCAAUUUCUCCAAUAAGGUAUAUUGACUCUUGAUGCACAUGGCCCAUUUCAAUUUCUCUAAUAAGUUAUAUGUAGUAUUGUAUGAUUGCUUGCCAGAGCAAAGAGCAAAACAGCUUUUUUAGUCCUGUUGUGGGGCCCACCUUCCUGUGAUCCAGAGGUGUUCUAUGAUUGCUUGGCAGAUGAAAGAGCAAACCAAUUUUUUUUCUUUGGUUGUGGGGCCCACCUGUCUGUGAUUCAGACCAUUUAUGAGGAAUUUUAUGAUUGCUUGGCAGAGCCAAG